rnacentral:rRNA from 1 species
CCUACGGGUGGCAGCAGUGGGGAAUAUUGGGCAAUGGGCGCAAGCCUGACCCAGCAACGCCGCGUGAAGGAAGAAGGCUUUCGGGUUGUAAACUUCUUUUUAGAGGGAAGUGUAGUAGACGGUACCUCUUGAAUAAGCCACGGCUAACUACGUGCCAGCAGCCGCGGUAAUACGUAGGUGGCAAGCGUUGUCCAGAUUUAUUGGGUGUAAAGGGCGUGUAGCCGGGCCGGCAAGUCAGAUGUGAAAGCCUAAGGCUCAACCUUAGAAUUGCAUUUGAAACUGUUAGUCUUGAGUAUCGGAGAGGCAGGCGGAAUUCCUAGUGUAGCGGUGAAAUGCGUAGAUAUUAGGAGGAACACCAGUGGCGAAGGCAGCCUGCUGGACGACAACUGACAGUGAGGCGCGAAAGCGUGGGGAGCAAACAGGAUUAGAUACCCUAGUAGUC